AGGAGUGUUUGAUGGGCGGGCAGCUGGUACAUCAGGUGAUUUGCAAAGUGGAGCAGAAACACAUCCUAAGAUGGUCAGAGGUGAUGAUGUUGACGAACAAUGGGGAAAAGGGUGUAUGGUCAUGGUGGUAUGUAAUGAUCCAGUUGACAUGUCCGAACCAAUGGUGCCGUCGGACGACGAGGUGAUUGGGGAGGAAAAUGUUUUACCCCGUGCU